rnacentral:rRNA from 1 species
AUGGUGAGUGGGUUGCCCGCCCGCCGCCGCAGACAGGCUCCUCGUGCCACUUAUCACUUAUGGCAGGGUGGGCUGGGAGAAUUGUCUCGGAACAAAGACUUGAAGAAAGGUCUUCCUUGGCCACGUAGGAGUGUGUGUGGCCCCUCCGAUCGGACUCAAUUCAAGCAAUCAAGCCGCAUUCUUCCUUUGCGUUGUGCUCAAAAUCUCUUUUCUGGACCAGCUUUACCUGAUGUGGAAAGCCAACACAUUCUAAACCGGUCCACGCCGACAAAUGUCUACUCCCUCUAUCCCAAAAUUCUUGUCUUAAAUUAG